GGACUACUGGGGUAUCUAAUCCUGUUUGCUCCCCACGCUUUCGCGUCUCAGCGUCAGUAUCCGUCCAGAUGGCCGCCUUCGCCACCGGUGUUCCUCCCCAUAUCUACGAAUUUCACCUCUACUUGGGGAAUUCCGCCAUCCUCUCCGGUACUCAAGCUCUGCAGUUUCGGGCGCACUUCCUCAGUUGAGCUGAGGGCUUUCACACCCGACUUGCAAAGCCGCCUACACGCGCUUUACGCCCAAUAAUUCCGAACAACGCUUGCACCCUCUGUAUUACCGCGGCUGCUGGCAC
rnacentral:rRNA from 1 species